GGGAACAUACCCUUUUCUACGGAAUAGCUCUGGGAAACUGGAAUUAAUACCGUAUACGCCCUACGGGGGAAAGAUUUAUCGGGGAAGGAUUGGCCCGCGUUGGAUUAGCUAGUUGGUGGGGUAAAGGCCUACCAAGGCGACGAUCCAUAGCUGGUCUGAGAGGAUGAUCAGCCACAUUGGGACUGAGACACGGCCCAAACUCCUACGGGAGGCAGCAGUGGGGAAUAUUGGACAAUGGGCGCAAGCCUGAUCCAGCCAUGCCGCGUGAGUGAUGAAGGCCUUAGGGUUGUAAAGCUCUUUCACCGAUGAAGAUAAUGACGGUAGCCGGAGAAGAAGCCCCGGCUAACUUCGUGCCAGCAGCCGCGGUAAUACGAAGGGGGCUAGCGUUGUUCGGAAUUACUGGGCGUAAAGCGCACGUAGGCGGAUAUUUAAGUCAGGGGUGAAAUCCCAGAGCUCAACUCUGGAACUGCCUUUGAUACUGGGUAUCUUGAGUAUGGAAGAGGUAAGUGGAAUUGCGAGU
rnacentral:rRNA from 1 species